CAGUCGCCGCGGUAAUACGAGGGGGGCAAGCGUUGUUCGGAAUUAUUGGGCGUAAAGGGUGCGUAGGCGGUUUGGCAAGUCUUAUGUGAAAUCUUCGGGCUCAACCCGAAAUCUGCAUGAGAAACUGCCGGGCUUGAGUAUGGGAGAGGUGAGUGGAAUUUCCGGUGUAGCGGUGAAAUGCGUAGAUAUCAGAAGGAACACCUGUGGCGAAGGCGAUCACCUGGGGUUGUACUGACGCUGAGGAGCGAAAGCUAGGGGAGCAAACGGGAUUAGAUACCCGAGUAGUCCCUGUCUCUUAUAC
rnacentral:rRNA from 1 species